rnacentral:rRNA from 1 species
GAUGAACGCUGGCUACAGGCUUAACACAUGCAAGUCGAGGGGAAACGACGGGGAAGCUUGCUUCCCCGGGCGUCGACCGGCGCACGGGUGAGUAACGCGUAUCCAACCUGCCUCUGACUGAGGGAUAACCCGUCGAAAGUCGGCCUAAUACCUCAUGGCAUCGUCUGCGGGCAUCCAUCGACGAUUAAAGAUUUCAUCGGUCAGAGAUGGGGAUGCGUCUGAUUAGCUUGUUGGCGGGGUAACGGCCCACCAAGGCGACGAUCAGUAGGGGUUCUGAGAGGAAGGUCCCCCACAUUGGAACUGAGACACGGUCCAAACUCCUACGGGAGGCAGCAGUGAGGAAUAUUGGUCAAUGGGCGAGAGCCUGAACCAGCCAAGUAGCGUGCAGGAUGACGGCCCUAUGGGUUGUAAACUGCUUUUAUGCGGGGAUAAAGUGAGGGACGUGUCCUUCAUUGCAGGUACCGCAUGAAUAAGGACCGGCUAAUUCCGUG